ACCUGGAUAGCUCAGUUGGUAGAGCAUGAGACGUUUAAACUCAGGGUUGUGGGUUUGAGCCCCACAUUGGGCA
rnacentral:tRNA from 1 species